rnacentral:rRNA from 1 species
UACUACCGAAGCUACGGCAUCAGUAAUGAUGGGUAGGGGAGCUUCCCAUACGGGUUGAAGCAUGACCGUAAGGACAUGUGGACAGUAUGGGAGUGAGAAUGUUGGCAUGAGUAGCGAGAUGUGGGUGAGAAUCCCACAGGCCGUAAACCCAAGGUUUCCAGGGGAAGGUUCGUCCGCCCUGGGUUAGUCGGGACCUAAGCUGAGGCCGAAAGGCGUAGGUGAUGGACAACAGGUUGAUAUUCCUGUACUACCGAU